rnacentral:rRNA from 1 species
UGGGGAAUAUUGCGCAAUGGGGGAAACCCUGGCGCAGCAACGCCGCGUGAAGGAUGAAGGCUCUCGGGUUGUAAACUUCUUUGAUUGGGGAAGAAAAAAAUGACGGUACCCAAAAAACAAGCCACGGCUAACUACGUGCCAGCAGCCGCGGUAAUACGUAGGUGGCAAGCGUUAUCCGGAAUUACUGGGUGUAAAGGGCGUGUAGGCGGGAUGUUAAGUCAGAUGUGAAAUUCCGAAGCUCAACUUCGGCGCUGCAUCUGAAACUAAUGUUCUUGAGUGAUGGAGAGGAAAGCGGAAUUCCUAGUGUAGCGGUGAAAUGCGUAGAUAUUAGGAGGAACACCAGUGGCGAAGGCGGCUUUCUGGACAUUAACUGACGCUGAGGCGCGAAAGCGUGGGGAGCAAACA